rnacentral:rRNA from 1 species
UACAGAGGUGGCAAGCGUUGUUCGGAGUUACUGGGCGUAAAGGGCGCGUAGGCGGCGCACCAAGUCAGGCGUGAAAGCCCUGGGCUCAACCCGGGAAUUGCGCUUGAGACUGGUGUGCUUGAGUACGGGAGAGGAUAGUGGAAUUCCCAGUGUAGAGGUGAAAUUCGCAGAUAUCGGGAGGAACACCAAUGGCGAAGGCAGCUCGCUGGGACGGUACUGACGCUGAGGCGCGAAAGCGUGGGGAGCAAACAGG